rnacentral:rRNA from 1 species
UACGUAGGGCGCAAGCGUUGUCCGGAAUUAUUGGGCGUAAAGAGCUCGUAGGCGGCUUGUCACGUCGGAUGUGAAAGCCCGGGGCUUAACUCCGGGUCUGCAUUCGAUACGGGCUAGCUAGAGUGUGGUAGGGGAGAUCGGAAUUCCUGGUGUAGCGGUGAAAUGCGCAGAUAUCAGGAGGAACACCGGUGGCGAAGGCGGAUCUCUGGGCCAUUACUGACGCUGAGGAGCGAAAGUGUGGGGAGCGAACAGG